rnacentral:rRNA from 1 species
AUGCAGCUAGUCAUUAAUUCAAACAACAUGGAGGUGAUUGAUACCAUGAAGGAAGGAGGACGGUCGACGGGGAUGGCUGCGGCGGUUUUUGAUGAUUGUUUUUAUUCUACCUGUGAUUUUACUAUUUCUAGAUUUGAGCAUUAUAAUAGAGAAGCAAAUAAAGUUGCUCACGAACUUGCUAGAAUGACUAAAUUUUCUUUGAUUUUUUAUUGGUUUGAGGGGCCUUUAAAUGAAAUUGUAUCGAUCCUCAUAAACAAUGUAAUGGUGAUAUCAAAUGAAUAA